GGUCCUAAGGUAGCGAAAUUCCUUGUCGGGUAAGUUCCGGCCCGCACGAAAGGCGUAACGAUUUGGGCACUGUCUCAACGGGAGACUCGGUGAAAUUUUAGUACCUGUGAAGAUGCAGGUUACCCGCGACAGGACGGAAAGACCCCAUGGAGCUUUACUGUAGUUUGAUAUUGAGUGUCUGUACCGCAUGUACAGGAUAGGUAGGAGCCGUAGAAAUCGGAACGCUAGUUUCGAUGGAGGCGCUGGUGGGAUACUACCCCUGCGUUAUGGCCACUCUAACCCGCACCACUAAUCGUGGUGGGAGACAGUGUCAGAUGGGCAGUUUGACUGGGGCGGUCGCCUCCUAAAAGGUAACGG
rnacentral:rRNA from 1 species